UACGGGGGGGGGCAAGCGUUGUCCGGAAUUAUUGGGCGUAAAGAGCUCGUAGGCGGCUGCUCAAGUCGAAUGUGAAAACUCGAGGCUCAACCUCGAGACGUCGACGGAAACCAUCUGGCUAGAGUCCGGAAGAGGAGAGUGGAAUUCCUGGUGUAGCGGUGAAAUGCGCAGAUAUCAGGAAGAACACCCGUGGCGAAGGCGGCUCUCUGGGACGGUACUGACGCUGAGACGCGAAAGCGUGGGGAGCGAACAGG
rnacentral:rRNA from 1 species